rnacentral:rRNA from 1 species
UGAGGAAUAUUGGGCAAUGGAGGAAACUCUGACCCAGCCAUGCCGCGUGAGUGAAGAAGGUCUUCGGAUUGUAAAGCUCUUUCGGAUAAGACGAUGAUGACGGUAUUAUCUAAAGAAGCCCCGGCAAACUUCGUGCCAGCAGCCGCGGUAAUACGAAGGGGGCAAGCGUUGUUCGGAAUUACUGGGCGUAAAGGGAGUGUAGGCGGUUUAGUAAGAUAGCGGUGAAAUACCAGAGCUCAACUUUGGAAUUGCCGUUAUAACUAUUAGACUUGAAUGAUAGAGAGGAUAUCGGAAUACCCAGUGUAGAGGUGAAAUUCGUAGAUAUUGGGUAGAACACCGGUGGCGAAGGCGGGUAUCUGGCUAUUAAUUGACGCUGAGGCUCGAAAGCAUGGGGAUCAAACAGGAUUAGAUACCCUGGUAGU